ACGUGAUAUACAGUAUACACAGUGGCGAAACUAGCUCCUUUUCAUUAGGGGGGUGUCUGGCAGAAUUGCCCUGCCAAAACCAAUGAUGCGGCCUGCAGCGCCAGCGCUAAUACAAUACAUCACUAAGGUACGUGUAUAAUUGAACUGCCGAUGGCAAUGUACAUGCAUACGAGCUGCUUAUUGUUUGCUAUCUGUAAUAAGUUACUUAAUAACUCUACAUUCUAUCAUUUAAAUUGCCCUGUCAAUCGGGUUGAUUCG